rnacentral:rRNA from 1 species
AUUGAACGCUGGCGGCAGGCCUAACACAUGCAAGUCGAGCGGAUGAAGUGGGCUUGCUCCUGUAUUCAGCUGCGGACGGGUGAGUAAUGCCUAGGAAUCUGCCUGGUAGUGGGGGCUAACGUCCGGACACGGGCGCUAAUACCGCAUCCGUCCUUAGGGAGAAAGUGGGUGAUCUUCUGACCUCACGCUAUCAGAUGAGCCUAGGUCGGAUUAGCUAGUUGGUGGGGUAAAGGCCUACCAAGGCGACGAUCCGUAACUGGUCUGAUAGGAUGAUCAGUCACACUGGAACUGAGAAACGGUCCAGACUCCUAAGGGAGGCAGCAGUGGGGAAUAUUGGAAAAUGGGCGAAAGCCUGAUCAAGCCAUGCCGCGUGAGUGAAGAAGGGCUUCGGAUGGUAAAGAACUUUAAGUUGGGAGGAAGGGAAGUAAGUUAAUACAUUGAUGUUUUGACGGUACCAAAAGAAUAAGCACCGGCUAACUUCGUG